CAGAAAAUAGUUUAUGGUAAAAUAUUAAUUUUGGAGAUUAAUGAUAGGAAAUUUUUCUUUUUCUGA
rnacentral:tRNA from 1 species